rnacentral:rRNA from 1 species
GAUGAACGCUGGCGGCGUGCCUAAUACAUGCAAGUCGAGCGGACAGAUGAGGAGCUUGCUCCUCUGACGUUAGCGGCGGACGGGUGAGUAACACGUGGAUAACCUACCUAUAAGACUGGGAUAACUUCGGGAAACCGGAGCUAAUACCGGAUAAUAUAUUGAACCGCAUGGUUCAAUAGUGAAAGACGGUUUUGCUGUCACUUAUAGAUGGAUCCGCGCCGCAUUAGCUAGUUGGUAAGGUAACGGCUUACCAAGGCAACGAUGCGUAGCCGACCUGAGAGGGUGAUCGGCCACACUGGAACUGAGACACGGUCCAGACUCCUACGGGAGGCAGCAGUAAGGAAUCUUCCGCAAUGGGCGAAAGCUUGACGGAGCAACGCCGCGUGAGUGAUGAAGGUCUUCGGAUCGUAAAACUCUGUUAUUAGGGAAGAACAAAUGUGUAAGUAACUAUGCACGUCUUGACGGUACCUAAUCAGAAAGCCACGGCUAACUACGUG